GACGGUCAAGUCCUCAUGGCCUUAUGUCUUAGGGCUACACACGUGCUACAAUGGGUGGUACAAAGAGCAGCUAACUCGCGAGAGUAUGCAAAUCUCAAAAAGCCGUCCUCAGUUCGGAUUGGAGUCUGCAACUCGACUCCAUGAAGUUGGAAUCGCUAGUAAUCGCGGAUCAGCAUGCCGCGGUGAAUACCGUUCCCGGGCCUU
rnacentral:rRNA from 1 species